GUAUAGGAAGCGAAAUAUAUUGCGUUCGGUUUCGGCCCGUAUCUUGGAGGCCUACGCCUUCCCUAUAUU
rnacentral:tRNA from 1 species